UUCCCGGUUGAUCCUGCCCGGACCUGACUGCUAUCGGAUUGAUACUAAGCCAUGCGAGUCAUUGUAGUAAUACAAGGCAGACGGCUCAGUAACGCGUAGUCAACCUAACCUAUGGACGGGAAUAACCUCGGGAAACUGAGUAUAAUGCCCGAUAGAACAUUAUGCCUGGAAUGGUUUAUGUUCCAAAUGAUUUAUCGCCGUAGGAUGGGACUGCGGCCUAUCAGUUUGUUGGUGAGGUAAUGGCCCACCAAGACUAUUACAGGUACGGGCUCUGAGAGGAGUGGCCCGGAGAUGGGUACUGAGACACGGACCCAGGCCCUAUGGGGCGCAGCAGGCGAGAAAACUUUGCAAUGUGCGAAAGCACGACAAGGUUAAUCCGAGUGGUUUCUGCUAAAGGAACCUUUUGUCGGUCCUAGAAACACCGAUGAAUAAGGGGUGGGCAAGUUCUGGUGUCAGCCGCCGCGGUAAAACCAGCACCUCAAGUGGUCAGGAUGAUUAUUGGGCCUAAAGCAUCCGUAGCCGGCUUUGUUAGUUUUCGGUUAAAUCUGUACGCUUAACGUACAGGCUGCCGGGAAUACUGCAGAGCUAGGGAGUGGGAGAGGUAGACGGUACUCGGUAGGAAGGGGUAAAAUCCUUUGACCUAUUGAUGACCACCUGUGGCGAAGGCGGUCUACCAGAACACGUCCGACGGUGAGGGAUGAAAGCUGGGGGAGCAAACCGGAUUAGAUACCCGGGUAGUCCCAGCUGUAAACUAUGCAAACUCAGUGAUGCAUUGGCUUGUGGCCAAUGCAGUGCUGCAGGGAAGCCGUUAAGUUUGCCGCCUGGGAAGUACGUACGCAAGUAUGAAACUUAAAGGAAUUGGCGGGGGAGCACCACAAGGGGUGAAGCCUGCGGUUCUGUUCAUCAACGCCGGA
rnacentral:rRNA from 1 species